rnacentral:rRNA from 1 species
GAUGAACGCUAGCGGCAGGCCUAACACAUGCAAGUCGAGGGAGAAGCCCUUUCGGGGGCAGAAACCGGCGCACGGGUGCGUAACGCGUAUGCAACCUACCUUUCACAGGGGGAUAGCCCGAAGAAAUUUGGAUUAAUACCCCAUAAUAUUAUUGGAUGGCAUCAUUUGAUAAUUAAAACUGCGGUGGUGAAAGAUGGGCAUGCGUCCUAUUAGCUAGUUGGAGUGGUAACGGCACCCCAAGGCUACGAUAGGUAGGGGUCCUGAGAGGGAGAUCCCCCACACUGGUACUGAGACAGGGACCAGACUCCUACGGGAGGCAGCAGUGAGGAAUAUUGGUCAAUGGUCGGAAGACUGAACCAGCCAUGCCGCGUGCAGGAAGAAUGCCUUAUGGGUUGUAAACUGCUUUUAUAUGGGAAGAAUAAGGCGUACGUGUACGUUGAUGACGGUACCAUAUGAAUAAGCAUCGGCUAACCCCGUG